CAUUGAAAUGGUGAUAACAUUUGCUGAAAGAAAUUGUUGAUUAAGAAAAAAUUAGAUUAUAAUUAUCUGAUCAACG